rnacentral:rRNA from 1 species
UUUUAACGAGAGUUUGAUCCUGGCUCAGGAUGAACGCUGGCGGCGUGCUUAACACAUGCAAGUCGAGCGAAGCACUUA